CGAAGGCAUUCGUGCAUGUGGUUAUAUCCGGUUGUAUUCCGAAGAAGCUUGGGCUGGAGGUGAGCGUUGGUUGCUGUAAUAAAUUUAAUUAGUACGCUCGAAAAGCCCAAAGAAUAAGAUUUUGCUCGUUAGCGAUCGGAUUCGGGAUCAUUAAAGUCGAAGUCAUCUACACUAUCAAAGCCUCCAUUUUGGUAUAAUUUUGGUUGAACUUUGAAAUGGCAUGUAUAGGACUACCCUAUUGUUGAAGGUCAUGUACCUUUCGGUUUUGUGUAAGCUUGGAUAGCCAUGCGAAAAUGGCUUAUAUACGUUUUUAGUAUGAUUCUAUAAUCGUUUGUAUGAUGAUCAUUAUGGGGUAUGGAAUUGUUUGAAAAGAUUAGCCAUUGGAAUGGUUAAUCGUGAUCACACUUUGUGCUAUGUAUGCAAAAAGGGCCAAUUGAAUCGUGGAAAUCAUGAAA